rnacentral:rRNA from 1 species
ACUCCUACGGGAGGCAGCAGUGGGGAAUAUUGCACAAUGGGCGCAAGCCUGAUGCAGCCAUGCCGCGUGUGUGAAGAAGGCCUUCGGGUUGUAAAGCACUUUCAGUCGUGAGGAAGGUAGUGUAGUUAAUAGCUGCAUUAUUUGUACGUUAGCGACAGAAGAAGCACCGGCUAACUCCGUGCCAGCAGCCGCGGUAAUACGGAGGGUGCGAGCGUUAAUCGGAAUUACUGGGCGUAAAGCGCAUGCAGGUGGUUUGUUAAGUCAGAUGUGAAAGCCCGGGGCUCAACCUCGGAAUUGCAUUUGAAACUGGCAGACUAGAGUACUGUAGAGGGGGUAGAAUUUCAGGUGUAGCGGUGAAAUGCGUAGAGAUCUGAAGG